UAACAGUUAAGCACCAUAAUGACAUGGAUGACAAAACCCCGCAUGGACACUGUGUUAUGGGGAGGUCGGAGGUCUUAAGCAGGAUCAGAAGGUCGGCCGUUCAGCGUCUUGGUCUGUGAUGCUGUGUGGCUGCCAGCACAAAGAACCUGAACCCAUUUUCACCCUGUGCCACCAUGUUCCUUGGAGAGUUUUAUUGGGAACCGUUUAAUGGAGACGGAAGGUGGUCCCCCUCACACUUCACUGUGUGAAACAGCAUUUCCUCUGACAGAAUCGGUCUGAAACUUCAACGCUGUCAAAACCCAAACCUGCACUGCGGUCAAGCUAAGAAUGUGUAAAUGAGGGGCUCCUGGCGCACAGGAAGUUACAGACAUGACAGCUGAAUGACAGCAUCUAAAUUAUUCAGCAGUAAUAAGAAGCUGAUUGACGACUGAGCCGAGUGUCCAACUCACUGAGUCCAAGUGGAAGUUGAGCUGAGAUGACUAAUAUGACUCAAAUAUACAUCACAAUCUCGUCUUUUCUUGUUGUACAUAAAUCUUUCUGGAGAGUUUUAAACUUCUCUAAAUGUCCAUAACUUCAUCGCACCGUCUGUCUGCAUCUCUUUGUCUCCUGCCUUCAGCUUCUGGCUUUGCUCCAUCACAUCAUUUUUCUUUG